AAGGAGUUUCUGCUUUUGCCCAGGACACCAUUGUGCUUGAUCUAACCAUGCAGUUCCCUUUCUGUCCAUGGUUGUGCCAAGCACUUUGGAGACUUGUGUGCACUUUCUUCUGCCUUUU
rnacentral:precursor_RNA from 8 species